GAUGAACGCUGGCGGCGUGCCUAAUACAUGCAAGUCGAACGCGAGCACUUGUGCUCGAGUGGCGAACGGGUGAGUAAUACAUAAGUAACCUGCCCUAGACAGGGGGAUAACUAUUGGAAACGAUAGCUAAGACCGCAUAGGUACGGACACUGCAUGGUGACCGUAUUAAAAGUGCCUCAAAGCACUGGUAGAGGAUGGACUUAUGGCGCAUUAGCUGGUUGGCGGGGUAACGGCCCACCAAGGCGACGAUCGGUAGCCGGACUGAGAGGUUGAACGGCCACAUUGGGACUGAGACACGGCCCAG
rnacentral:rRNA from 1 species